CUUGUACUCCCUCCGUCUGAAAAUACUUGUCAUUGAAACGGAUGUAUCUAGAUGUAUUUUAGUUCUAGACACAUCCAUUUUGAUGACAAGUAAUUCCAGACGGAGGGAGUACUUG
rnacentral:pre_miRNA from 1 species